rnacentral:rRNA from 1 species
CGAACGCUAAUACCGCAUAACAUAGAAGAUUCGCAUGUUUCUUCUAUCAAAGAUUUAUCGCUUAAAGAUGGGCUCGCGUCUGAUUAGCUGGUUGGUGAGGUAACGGCUCACCAAGGCGACGAUCAGUAGCCGUACUGAGAGGUAGAACGGCCACAUUGGGACUGAGACACGGCCCAGACUCCUACGGGAGGCAGCAGUGGGGAAUAUUGCACAAUGGAGGGAACUCUGAUGCAGCGAUGCCGCGUGAGGGAAGAAGGUUUUAGGAUUGUAAACCUCUGUCUUCAGGGACGAUAAUGACGGUACCUGAGGAGGAUGCUCCGGCUAACUAC